GGGGGCAUAGCUCAGUGAUAGAGCACAUGCUUAGCAUGCACAAGGUCCUGGGUUCAAUCCCCAGUCCCUCCA
rnacentral:tRNA from 1 species